GAUCUUUGAAAGAGGAGAGGAACGAUCAAUGUUCGACAAAUAAUCAAUAUAUACGUCUGAAAUUUAGAAAAAUUUCGACGAAUUACAGAGAUUUAACAAACUGGGAUUGAGAAGUGAGAGAAAUAGCUAUUCACAUCUGAAGAUUGGAAAAAUUUAGAUAAAUAAGAAAGAUGAUCAUUUGUAAAUGAAAUUUAAAAAAAUUUCCACAUAUAAGAGAAUAGCUAUUCAUGUUUUUUUUAUGCUAUCUGAUUGGAACAAUCUUCACGAAUAAAAAUGAUUAUUUAAUAUAUAAAUGAGAUUUAAAAGAGUUUUGAAAAGUGAGAGAAAAUAGCUAUUCACAUUUUUAGAAAAAAUUUAAACAAAUGACAAAGAUGGUCAUUUAUUAUUAAAGUUUAAAGAAAUUUUGACAAAGAAUGAUUUCAUAUCUGCAAUUUAAUCCAAAUUUCAAUAAAUAACAAAAGAUUAUCGUUAUAAAUAAAAUUUAAAAAAAUUUUGAGAAGUAAAAGAAAUGGCUAUUCACGUCUAAAGUUUGAAAAAAUUUCAAUAGCUAAUAAAAAUGCUCAUUUACAAUUGAAAUUUAGAAAAAUUUCGACGAACAAGAGAAUGAUUUUACAUUUGGAAGAAUUUCGACAAACAAUAGAAAUGGUUACCUUGAAGUUCAGAAAAAUUUCUUCAAACUUAAAAGUUUAGUUUCGGUACAUUUUUCAGGGUCGCUUCAAAAUGACCUACAACAAUAGAGAACUUAAGAAAAAACCUAAGGAACCUUUAGAAAGGAUCUUAAGUUAUUAUUGAACGUGUGCUUGCAUAAACCCUUGAAAGGCUUUUCCAAGAAUUUACUUUGUUGGUCGAUCUGAUCCAAGGUCUAUGUUAUUCAGAAAUUGUAUCCAAGAAUUAUACAGGAUCGAUAAAUCUAUAUUAGAAUCAAGGAUAAUCAUUGAAAUACAAUAGGAUAGUUGGCCAAGGAUUAGUUCCUUUGAAUUUUAAGGGAUGAUUGUGUAUUAAUUUUCAAGACGCAGUGUCAAUAAUUUCCAAGAGAAAAAGGAAAAAACGAGAGAGAGAGGAAAAAAAGAAGAAAAAAAAAAAAGAGGGAAGAAACAGGUCGAGAAAAAUGUCCGUCGUAAAUCGAACGUUGAAUAUAAAUGAAGUGGAACUUCCUGAGCUUGGAAGAAUAGAACGCGUGGCCGCGAGACGAGAUCUAUCGUAUUUCAACCAUGAUAAUAAUAAAUGGAGCGAGCUUACGUGCACGAUAUAGUAGUGGACGCGAAGGUUUUCACCUUCGUUCACGCGGAUGUGUAAAUAAACAUUACUACUACUACUACUAUUACUACUACUGCUGCUAGCUGAUUGAACUUGAUAUUUUUCUUUUCCGUGUAUUCGUCAAUUUACGGGGAUACGGAUAUCUUUUGUUACAAGUCGAGCUCUAUUAGUCCCUAUUUACAUUUUUAAAUUUGUCUCGCGUAUUUUUUCGCGUUUAAAAAAAAUUUGCACCGUAUAAUUUCAUCCUGUAUUUUUUCGUGUUAUUUACACCGUGUUUUAGCCUUAUCUUCUUUAAAAAUAAAGUUCCAUUAAGGACGCCGACGGUGAAUGAAAGCAAAAAAAAUAAAUCGAGCUUAUCUCAAUGGAAGGGGAAAUUUAAAAGAGAAGAUGGAAAUUGUCUCUCUCUCUUUCUUUCUCUGUGAACGACGUAUUCUCGAUAUCGAUGACGAAGAAUCUUCACCGAUGACGUAAAAAAAAAAAAAAAAAUGAAAUUGCGAAAGCUGAAAGCGCGUAAGGGAAACUUUUUUUUUUUUUUUGCUUGAUGUACCGUGAAAUUUGAAAAUCGAUUAAACGGUUGACGUAAAUUUUCACGGUGCACACGGUACUAUGUGAAUCUGAACGAUGCAUUCUUAAAGCGAUGCAAUUCACAUCGACGCGAGAUAUUUUACAGGUUUUAAGAGAGGAGAAAUUUUAUAUUUGUUAUUAAAAUAAUAUUAUUAAAAUUAU